UGUGGUUGGGCGAGGCCUAAAUAGAAAACACAAUCGCGCGGCUUCAACUUUUGGUUUUCGUUUCGUUUUAGCAUGUUUUAGUAUUGUUAUCAUGAUUGCAAUAUUGUGCUUGUGUUCUUCAGUUCUAGCAAAUCAAUUUAAUUACCCUAAUUCUACUAAUAAAAUUUUGGUGUAGCACAAACUAUACCAAUUGAUGACAAACAGAAUCCAUGACCAUGAGAUCAUGGGUUUGCCAGGAGUUUCCUGAAAUUGUUAUGAUGUUGUGUUUCAAUGUCACAUAGUUGGAGUCAAGAGUCGGAGUUGGCAUACCAGAUCAUCAGCUUUUGGAUCCCAGAAUCACUGCUUUAUGAAAAUGGUAAAGGCCAGAGGUUAAAUUUUUAGUGCAUAUGCUUAUUUUGCCCCCACCUCUUAUCAAAUAGAGGUUUGAGUACAUACUAACAAACUCACAUUUUUGAUGAAUCAAGUUAUUGUUAUUAUUGUUGACGAGCCACUUUUCUCUGGGUCCUUAAACUGGACUUCACAAGCCACUGGUAAUCAAAUUUUGAAACAUUUCUGUUUAUUCUAAGUUUCUGAUGACCUGCACCUUUGCAUUCAUUCAUUUACAUUGCACAAGAAAUUUUUUAAUCUCUUGAUCUUGAAUCCUUAUCAAAAUAAAUAAAUGAUUUAUGUUAGAAGA
rnacentral:lncRNA from 1 species